AUGGAAGUGGACUGCUUGGAGGUAGCGAACCUUUGGAAUUCGCAUCACAGUCCCAGACCGAUUGUGAAGCCUAUCUUCGAUGAAAUCAAGGAAAGAGCUGCGAGCUUCGUCUCCUUUUCAAUUCAGCAUGCCAGAAGAGAAGCCAAUUGUUCGGCUGAUCUUUGCGCGAAGCAUGCGACUACACUUUCAGUUUCAGAUGUUUGGUUGGACACCUGCCCAUCCUUCUUAGUUAGUAGCUUCUUAGCCGACUAUAACCGGAUCUCUACCAUGCAAUAA
rnacentral:rRNA from 1 species